GCGCGAAAUUCCGGUGUAGGGCAAGCAGUGAAAAUUAGAAUGGAAGAGAUGGAGAAAAGUCCGUUCUGUGCUGGUUUAGAAAGGCAUUUCUUGAAUGAAGAAAAAAGAAAACCUUUAAUCAUCUGACUUUGAUAGAGUCAAGGACACUAAUGGGGAAGUGGACCAACAAGACAUUGGAGAGCACACGCUGAAAACUGUGACCAUAUUGGAGUCCUUUAGCAGCAGGAAUAAUCUUAGAAGGUGUUGAGGUUCUGGGAGGAUUGUCCAGUGUUGCAAUUGCAUGUGGUGCUCUUCUUGGCCUGAUGUAAACCUGAGUUACCCCAAGCCACUGAGGUAUACAUUUGAACUUUUCCAGGAAAUCCUGCUUGAACUAGACAGUCUUUUUUUGUCAAAUGCGCAUUUAAUGGUUCACCACAGCAUACAUAUAAAGGUUUGGUUCCCCAAAAAUGA